GACGUAGGGGGCGAGCGUUGUCCGGAUUCAUUGGGCGUAAAGCGCGCGCAGGCGGCCCGGUAAGUCGGAUGUGAAAUCCCACGGCUCAACCGUGGAACUGCAUUCGAUACUGUCGGGCUAGAGGCAGGUAGGGGAGAUCGGAAUUCCUGGUGUAGCGGUGAAAUGCGCAGAUAUCAGGAGGAACACCAGCGGCGAAGGCGGCGCUCUGGGCCGGUACUGACGCUGAGGAGCGAAAGCGUGGGGAGCAAACAGG
rnacentral:rRNA from 1 species